rnacentral:rRNA from 1 species
AGUAAAAAGCUCGUAGUUGGAUUUCGGAAGNUCCUUAGUAAUCCGCCCCUUCGGGGAGCGGGUUGCUGGCCUCCUAUGUUCCUAACGGUCCUCGUCCGCGAGGGCGGGGAAUCAACCGCUAGGAUCGUUUACUUUGAGGAAAUUAGAGUGUUCAAAGCAGGCGUAACUCGCCUCCGAAUACGUUAGCAUGGGAUAAUGGAAUACGACUUCGGUCUUGUUUCGUUGGUUUCGCUUGGCUGAAGUAAUGAUUGAUAGGGACAGUUGGGGGCAUUAGUAUUUAGUUGUCAGAGGUGAAAUUCUAGGAUUUACUAAAGACUGACCAAUGCGAAAGCAUUUGCCAAGGAUGUUUUCAUUAAUCAAGAACGAAAGUAGGGGGAUCGAAGACGAUCAGAUACCGUCGUAGUCUCUACCGUAAACUAUGCCGACCAGGGAUCCGGAGAGUUUGCAUGGAUGACUCCCCGGGCACCUUGUGAGAAAUCAUAAGUGUUUGGGUUUUGGGGGGAGUAUGGUCGCAAGGCUGAAACUUAAAGGAAUUGACGGAAGGCNCCNCCCA